UUGCUUCAGCAGCACAUAUACUAAAAAUGGAAUGAUACAGAGAAGAUUAGCGUGGCUCAUGUGCAAUGAUGACAUGCAAAUAUGUGAAGGGCUUCAUAUUUAA
ensembl:snRNA U6 U6 spliceosomal RNA